rnacentral:rRNA from 1 species
CCUACGGGAGGCUGCAGUGGGGAAUAUUGGACAAUGGGCGAAAGCCUGAUCCAGCCAUGCCGCGUGUGUGAAGAAGGCCUUCGGGUUGUAAAGCACUUUCAGUGGGGAAGAAAGCCUUGGGGCUAAUACCCUCGAGGAAGGACAUCACCCACAGAAGAAGCACCGGCUAACUCCGUGCCAGCAGCCGCGGUAAUACGGAGGGUGCGAGCGUUAAUCGGAAUUACUGGGCGUAAAGCGCGCGUAGGCGGUCUGAUAAGCCGGUUGUGAAAGCCCCGGGCUCAACCUGGGAACGGCAUCCGGAACUGUCAGGCUAGAGUGCAGGAGAGGAAGGUAGAAUUCCCGGUGUAGCGGUGAAAUGCGUAGAGAUCGGGAGGAAUACCAGUGGCGAAGGCGGCCUUCUGGACUGACACUGACGCUGAGGUGCGAAAGCGUGGGUAGCAAACAGGAUUAGAUACCCGUGUAGUC